AGAGUUUGAUUAUGGCUCAGAUUGAACGCUGGCGGCAUGCCUUACACAUGCAAGUCGAACGGAUACAAGUCUUCUGAUGCUGACAACUGCCGAACAGGUGAGUAAUACGUCUGAACGUGCCCCAUCGUGUGGGAUAACGCAUCUCAAGCUGUGCUCAUACCCCAUACAAUCUACAGAUGAAAGCGGGGGUCCAUACCUCUCGCGCACUGAGCGGCCCAUGGCUCAUUAUGUAGUUGGUGGGAUGAAAUCUUACCACGCCGACAAUAUGUAUCUGGUCUGAGAGGACGACCAUCCUCACUGGGACUGAGACACGGCCCACACUCCUACAGGAGGACGCAGUGGGGAAUUUUGGACAAUGGGCGCAAGCCUGAUCCUCCCAUGCCGCGUGCAGGAUGAAGGCCGUCUGGUUGUAGACUGCUUUUGUACGGAACGAAGAAUCUCUCUCUAAUACAGGGGGUGAAUGACGGUACCGUAAGAAUAAGCACCGGCUAACUACGUGCCAGCAGCCGCGGUAAUACGUAGGGUGCAAGCGUUAAUCGGAAUUACUGGGCGUAAAGCGUGCGCAGGCGGUUAUGUAAUACAGAGGUGAAAUCCCCGGGCUCAACCUGGGAACUGCCUUUGUGACUGCAUAGCUGGAGUGCGGCAGAGGGGGAUGGAAUUCCUCGUGUAGCAGUGAAAUGCGUAGAUAUGCGGAGGAACACCGAUGGCGAAGGCAAUCCCCUGGGCCUGCACUGACGCUCAUGCACUAAAGCGUGGGGAGCAAACAGGAUUAGAUACCCUGCUAGUCCACGCCGUAAACGAUGUCAAGUGGGGGUCGGGUCUUCACUGACUCAGUAACGAAGGUAACGCGUGAAGUUGACCGCGUGGGGAGUACGGCCGCAAGGAUAAAACUCAAAGGAAGGGACGGGGACCCGACAAGCGGCGGAUGAUGUGGUUUAAUUCGAUGCAACGAGCAAAACCUUACCCACAUUUGACAUGUACGGAAUCCUUUAGAGAUAGAGGAGUGUGGACAGAAGCCGUAACACAGGUGGUGCAUGGCAGUCGUCAGCUCGUGUCGUGAGAUGAAGGGCUAAGUCCCGCAAAGAGCGCAACCCUAGCCACUAGCUGGUACGAAAGGGCACUCUAAUGGGACUGCCGGUGACAAACCGGAGGAAGGUGGGGAUGACGUCAAGUCCUCAUGGCCCUUAUAGGUGGGGCUACACACGUCAUACAAUGGUUGGUACAAAGGGUUGCCAACCCGCGAGGGGGAGCCAAUCCCACAAAGCCAAUCGUAGUCCGGAUCGCAGUCUGCAACUCGACUGCGUGAAGUCGGAAUCGCUAGUAAUCGUGGAUCAGAAUGUCACGGUGAAUACGUUCCCGGGUCUGUACACACC
rnacentral:rRNA from 1 species